rnacentral:rRNA from 1 species
AGCGAACGCUGGCGGCAGGCCUAACACAUGCAAGUCGAACGAACCCUUCGGGGUUAGUGGCGGACGGGUGAGUAACACGUGGGAACGUGCCUUUAGGUUCGGAAUAACUCAGGGAAACUUGUGCUAAUACCGAAUGUGCCCUUCGGGGGAAAGAUUUAUCGCCUUUAGAGCGGCCCGCGUCUGAUUAGCUAGUUGGUGAGGUAAUGGCUCACCAAGGCUACGAUCAGUAGCUGGUCUGAGAGGAUGACCAGCCACAUUGGGACCGAGACACGGCCCAAACCCCUACGGGAGGCAGCAGUGGGGAAUCUUGCGCAAUGGGCGAAAGCCUGACGCAGCCAUGCCGCGUGGAUGAUGAAGGUCUUAGGAUUGUAAAAUCCUUUCACCGGUGAAGAUAAUGACUGUAGCCGGAGAAGAAGCCCCGGCUAACUUCGUGCCAGCAGCCGCCGUAAGAC